rnacentral:lncRNA from 1 species
CUAACACGCUGCUCUGAGUGAGCUUCUUCUGCCUUGACACAAAUUCUAAGUCUCGCCAGGGCCACAAAAGGCCGAGUCCCCUGCGUGGCAAUCAUGGCUGCUUUCUGCACUUGAACAUAAAGUCUUCCUCAAGACAGCCUGUGGUCUGCCUCUUGGCAACCAAGAAGCCCACAGUGCCAUACGACCCGAGGCAUGGACUGGAGCCCCAAAGGCAGCACACACCCGGCUCCUGAGCCUACUGCUCGUUUCCUCUCUGUGGCUCCAUUUGUAGCACAGUUGUUGCACUGAGGCUUGUGCAUGCCGGGGAAGGCCAAGCUGGCUCAAAGAGCAACCAGCCACCUCUGCAAGGGUGUGCCAGGAGCAGUUGUACCACUCACCCACUAGCGGCCGGACAAGGUACAUCAGUUCUUCUACCCUAAAGGUGGGCCGCAGUGCCAUCUGCUUUUCCUAAUGCCUCUGCUCCAUCAGCAAUUAGGUG